UUGACCACCGUGCCGGCCAUAAAAAAAAAAAUCUCACCAUCUUUGAAUUCGGGAGUCUCUACGUGACUGUCAGUGCUGCUGCCACUUUCCGAAGCCACCGAACAUCGCUCGCCGACGUCCCCCUGUUAGCAUUUAGCCUGUUAGCAUUUAGCCGCAAUAUGAUACAUUGAAACCACCAACAAACUAAACAAGCUAACGUUUUUACCUUAGUGCAAAUGAGCCUGGGGGAGUCGCAAGCCGAAUGCUGCACAUCGCCGUUCUCUGUCGGCUUGGGGCUGAUCUCCUGGAUGACCUAACGGACCAAAAAAAGCCCCAGCACGAUGGCCUCCCCUCCGACGGGCACGAUCUUCAGCUUGUGCUCCUUCCUCUUGAGCUGCUUCUCCUUGUAGGUGACGCUGCAGCCCAGCAGACUCACGUCCAGCAAUGGCGUCUGUUCCUUUGAGCUCUUGUAGCACUGGGAAGCAUCAGAUGAGUGAGUGACACAUCACGAAAAUACGAACUCGUCGAGAUUUUAGAUCGUUUACCAGUAAGCGAUGCUCUCUGAUGACACACAGCUGCUUGGCCCACUGGCCCAGCCACUUCUUCCUCCACAGGAAAGCGCAGAUGCGAGCGUCCUUCAUCAGUUCGAUGGACGCCUCGGUGGACGGCCACUGGUGCUGCGCCGACUUGCCCCUCGUCACUUCCUCCUCGUCGUAGGACUCGUAUGAGCUGCUGACCGCCUCGCCGUCCUCUGUGAGUAUCUCUCCCAAGGCUUUGGCAUACAUUCCCCCGGAAGAUCACAGGAAUGGGAGCCGGAACAGAUGAGCAGAGGAGGGACUAAUAUCAUACAAACCAAAACCAUUGGGGGAGGUGAGUUAUAAAAGUGGAGAGGUUUUAUAAAGUUGAAGUACUAGAUCUAUUUUAUAUAUUUAUAUAUAUGUAUAAAAAAGUUCAGAGUUGCUGUAAUUAGGUCGGGUAUUUUUUGAUGUUGCUAACAUGC